rnacentral:rRNA from 1 species
CCUACGGGAGGCAGCAGUGGGGAAUAUUGGGCAAUGGGCGCAAGCCUGACCCAGCAACGCCGCGUGAAGGAAGAAGGCUUUCGGGUUGUAAACUUCUUUUCUGAGGGACGAAGAAAGUGACGGUACCUCAGGAAUAAGCCACGGCUAACUACGUGCCAGCAGCCGCGGUAAUACGUAGGUGGCAAGCGUUAUCCGGAUUUAUUGGGUGUAAAGGGCGUGUAGGCGGGAAAGCAAGCCAGAUGUGAAAAUUCAGGGCUCAACCCUGAGCCUGCAUUUGAAACUGUUUUUCUUGAGGGCUGGAGAGGCAAUCGGAAUCCCCUGUGUAGCGGUGAAAGGCGUAGAGAUACGGAAGAACAC